rnacentral:snRNA from 1 species
AUCGCUUCUCGGCCUUUUGGCUAAGAUCAAGUGUAGAUCUGGUCCAAACACAGCAGUCAGGGAUGCCAUGAUCUGAUUAUUUUGCAAUAUCUUCCAUGGAUAUACAAGGUAAGAAAGUGGUAGCACACUUGUAGCAGAUUUAUAUGUCAUGCUUGGCCUGGAUUUUGAAAAUCUAGCCCUU